rnacentral:rRNA from 1 species
UACAGAGGUCCCAAGCGUUGUUCGGAUUUAUUGGGCGUAAAGGGUGCGUAGGCGGUUGCCUAAGUCAGAUGUGAAAUCCCGGGGCUCAACCUCGGAACUGCAUUUGAUACUGGGUAACUUGAGUACUGGAGGGGAGACUGGAAUUUACGGUGUAGCAGUGAAAUGCGUAGAUAUCGUAAGGAAGACCAGUGGCGAAGGCGGUUGCCUGGAGCUUUGCUGACGCUGAUGCGCGAAAGCGUGGGGAGCGAUCCGG